rnacentral:misc_RNA from 1 species
AGUAUUUGUACUAUUUGUGUUAGGCAGAAAAAUGGGGAAGCGGUAUUACUGUGAUUAUUGUGAUAAAACAAUGGCGGCGGCCCCUUCCAUUGUGAAAACACAUAAUAGGGGUUUGGUGCACCAGAAAUUGGUUUUGGAACAUUAUCAGAAACACAAAGAUCCCGAAACAAUAUUAGCUGAGGAAAGUAGAAAGAAACCGUGUUCACGGUUCCCUAACAAUCAGUGUCAGUUUGGAGCCAUAUGCCGCUUCUCUCAUUACACGAGGGAUCAAAUCGAUCAGCUAAGGGAAAUUGUGGCAGCAAAAGAAAGAACUAACAACAAUACAGUUCAACCUGCUUUUGAAUACUUAUACCACCAGCUUCAAGAGGAAAAGACCAAAUCAAAGAAUAAUGAUGGUGAGAACACCGUUCUAUAUGACUCCAGUGGCAUAACACAUGUGUUUCCGUGGACUUACAACCCUACAAUGACACUUUACGGAGAUACACUACCACCGAGCAUAAAGAUGUUGAAAAUAGAAGAUUUUGAAUCGGCAGAUAUAACGACGUGGGGUUAAGAUGUCUUUAUUACAAGCACGGAUAUUGAAGUAGUAGAACGCGUGGUCGAUCAAACCCAGACAGAAUAUGCAGUUGAAGAAACAACGAGUGAAGAUACAAGUUCAAGAAGUGAAUCUAAUACUGAGAGUGCAGUAAAUGAAGAGAAAACUAUCGAUUCCGAAGUAAGAGAUGGUAGAAGUAAUGAUGACAUUACUGCAAACCAAGCACCAGUUGAAACAAGGAGAGCAAAUUUGGAAGAUGCUGCUGAAGCAAAUGCAGAAAAAACCAGCGCUGAAGAAAAUGCAACUUUUACGGAAGAAAAUACUGCUAAAGAUAUGAAAACUGGAGAAAAUGUCACAACAGAUCUAUCCGCUGAGAAUAAUAGACAAUCACCAGAUGAUGUAAGAAGUACAAGUGAAGUAGAUGAAUCAAAGGCAAGUGAUAAAGUUGCAGUAGGUGAAGUCGAAACUAAUAAAAGUGAUGCUGCUUUACCGAAUUUAAGUAACAUAUAUAGAAAUGCACCUAUUAGUACCGCAGAUCAAAUUAAUGGCACUAUACCAACGAAAGAGCAAGCUGUAACCAUGGAAUCCAAUGGGUUUAACUCUGGUGCUAUGACAAGAACUGGAAUGCCUGAUGCUUAUAUAGGAAUUGGUGCACGGAAAAUGAUUGAUCCUAAGGAUUUAAUUCUUGGAAGCUCCCUAGAGAGCGCUAGAGGACAUCAUGACACGAGGUUGUCAGUGCCAAUCGUGGCUCGAGCCAUAUCCUUUGAACCUUACAGUGCAAUAGGAUCUCAAACUCAACUGCAUUACCCGGCGGAUUUGUUGCCGACAUACCAGACCAAGAAUCUUCAGAUGCCGAAUCAGUUCCUGUACUCCCCUGGUUCGUACGACGCGAAGCUACGAGGCACCGCUUCUUUGCUCAAUAGCAUGGGCCCAGACACGUACAAUUCCUUCAAAUCAAUAGUCCCUGAAGCGCGAUUCAAGCCGAACAUCCGUUCGCAUGAAACCCAUCCGAUAUUAGAUAUGAAACAGUUCGCCUUGGAUAAAAACUCCUAUCCGUUUUCUCCCAAUAAUGUAGAUAACUUUGGCCGUGAAGGAAAAGUUGAGUUUCCUCCUUUGGCGAAGAAAGAGACAGAUAAUAGAAGACAAUACGGUGCUGUGGAUCCUAACAUCGGAAUGAAUUUUAAUUUAUACAGUGAUUUGUCGCGGUAUAGGCGAAGUCUUGCCAACCGCUUGUUACCGUAUUACAUGUAUAGAUUUAAUAAUUACAGACGGGAUAUGAACCAUAAUAAUUACUAUGACUGGGCUAUGCCAGACUACAGAAGACUAGCUGCUCCACGCGACCCCGCCGGCGUAUACCUAGGCUAACCCUAGGGAAGUAGCGUGAUUAUUUGUAUCGCAGAUGUUGAUCAAGCUUCUAAUGUAUUCAACUGCAAAAUUGUAUUAGAAUCCGCUCAGUGGGUAUUGCGUGAUGCGCGAACAAAUCGGGAAAAGAUAUUCAUUGUAGGCACCUAUAGUUUACUGGAUCAAUCUUCAUCAAUCCGGGUGAGAGCCCUCAGCCACACCCCGGACCUUUCAUACAAACAACCUCGUUUUACACAGAUACCACACAUUGACGUUAUCGUACACGCGCAUCUGUGUGUGUGACGUCUGACGCCAUACGAUUGGAGACUAAACUAUG